rnacentral:rRNA from 1 species
GUGGGGAAUAUUGCACAAUGGGCGCAAGCCUGAUGCAGCCAUGCCGCGUGUAUGAAGAAGGCCUUCGGGUUGUAAAGUACUUUCAGCGGGGAGGAAGGUGUUGUGGUUAAUAACCGCAGCAAUUGACGUUACCCGCAGAAGAAGCACCGGCUAACUCCGUGCCAGCAGCCGCGGUAAUACGGAGGUUGCAAGCGUUAAUCGGAAUUACUGGGCGUAAAGCGCACGCAGGCGGUCUGUCAAGUCGGAUGUGAAAUCCCCGGGCUCAACCUGGGAACUGCAUUCGAAACUGGCAGGCUGGAGUCUUGUAGAGGUGUGUAGAAUUCCAGGUGUAGCGGUGAAAUGCGUAGAGAUCUGGAGGAAUACCGGUGGCGAAGGCGGCCACCUGGACAGGUACUGACGCUGAGGCGCGAAAGCGUGGGGAGCAAACAGGAUUAGAUACCCCAGUAGUCC